rnacentral:rRNA from 1 species
GAUGAACGCUGGCGGCGUGCCUAAUACAUGCAAGUCGAGCGAAGCGGGGACGGGUGAGUAACACGUGGAUAACCUCCUAUAAGACUGGGAUAACCUCGGGAAACCGGUGCUAAACCGGACUCUUAUAGAUGGUUCCGGGUGGCAUUAGGUAGUUGGUAAGGUAACGGCUUACCAAGGCAACGAUCCAUAGCCGAGCUGAGAGGGUGAUCAGCCACACUGGAACUGAGACACGGUCCAGACUCCUACGGGAGGCAGCAGUAGGGAAUCUUCCGCAAUGGGCGAAAGCCUGACGGAGCAACGCCGCGUGAGUGAAGAAGGCCUUCGGAUCGUAAAACACUGUUAUUAGGGAAGCGUUACCUAAUCAGAAAGCCACGGCUAACUACGUGCCAGCAGCCGCGGUAAUUC